AUCCGGCUGACGAGUCCCAAAUAGGACGAAACACGCGUCCUGGAU
rfam:Schistosoma mansoni strain Puerto Rico chromosome W, complete genome